CUUCAUGAAGCUGGAAUUGCUAGUAAUGGCAGGUCAGCAUACUGCCGUGAAUACGUUCCCGGGCCUUGUACACACCGCCCGUCACACCAUGAGAGUUGGGAAUACCCGAAGCCUGUGAGCUAACUUAUAGAGGCAGCAGUCGAAGGUAGAAUCAAUGAUUGGGGUGAAGUCGUAACAAGGUAGC
rnacentral:rRNA from 1 species